UACGGAGGAUGCGAGCGUUAUCCGGAUUUAUUGGGUUUAAAGGGUGCGUAGGCGGACUGUCAAGUCAGCGGUAAAAUUGAGAGGCUCAACCUCUUCCCGCCGUUGAAACUGGUGGUCUUGAGUGGAUGAGAAGUACGCGAAAUGCGUGGUGUAGCGGUGAAAUGCAUAGAUAUCACGCAGAACUCCGAUUGCGAAGGCAGCGUACCGGCAUCCAACUGACGCUGAGGCACGAAAGCGUGGGGAUCAAACAGG
rnacentral:rRNA from 1 species